GUGAAUCAUCGAAUCUUUGAACGCACAUUGCACUCUCUGGUAUUCCGGAGAGUAUGCCUGUUUGAGGGUCAGUUUAAAUAAAAAUCGGUGUGGUUGCUGACCUUCGUGGUGACGCACCGGCUUUGGGUCGUCUUUUCUUCGGUUAAGUGACCAACAAUUUUGCAUGAUUUUUUUCGAACGUAUUUACAUGAUUUUACGUACGUUUCCGAUAUC
rnacentral:misc_RNA from 1 species